rnacentral:rRNA from 1 species
GACGAACGCUGGCGGCGUGCCUAAUACAUGCAAGUCGAACGCAGUUGCGAAGGGGUGAGUAACGCGUAGGGAACUUCCUCAUAGCAGGGGAUAACUAGUGGAAACGAUAGGUAAUACCGCAUACUGUGGGAUGGACCUGCGUUGUAUUAGUUAGUUGGUUAGGUAAAUGCUCACCAAGGCGACGAUAGAUAGCCCGACUGCGCGGGGGAUCGGCCACACCUGGACGUGGACAUGGCCCAUACUCCUACGGGAGGCAGCAGUAGGGAAACUUCGGCAAUGGAAGGAAGGCUGACCGAGCAAAGCCGCGUGAGUGAAGAAGGUUUUCGGAUCUGAAAGCUCUGGUUUUAGAGAAGCGGUAACUAACCAGAAAGGGACGGCUAACUACGUGCCAGCAGCCGCGGUAAUAC